UACGGAGGGUGCAAGCGUUAAUCGGAAUUACUGGGCGUAAAGCGCGCGUAGGCGGCUUGUUAAGUCGGAUGUGAAAUCCCCGGGCUCAACCUGGGAACUGCAUUCGAUACUGGCUGGCUAGAGUGUGGUAGAGGGAAGUGGAAUUCCAGGUGUAGCGGUGAAAUGCGUAGAUAUGCGGAGGAACACCGAUGGCGAAGGCAAUCCCCUGGGCCUGCACUGACGCUCAUGCACGAAAGCGUGGGGAGCAAACAGGAUUAGAAACCCUAGUAGU
rnacentral:rRNA from 1 species